UCAUACCCAUUUUGCUAACCCCUUGUGGUUAGAUUCGGUGUAACGUUUCGAAACUUAAACAUCAAUUAAAAGCAUUACCUAUUGCUUAAUGUUCAAAGCUGAUUCUCGAAUUCUUCACCGAGGCAAGUUAACCCCUGCGACAAUCCCUUGGUUAAUCCUCCCUUGUCUUCUCUUUCUCACAAUAAGCUUUCAAGCGGGCAAAGAAGUACGAAGAAAAAGAAGCCGCCAUUUUUUCCUAGCGCUGUCCAUCUUCCCAUCUUGUCGGGCAGCCACAAAUUGGAAAACAAGCCAUGUCGUUGGGUCGCCAUCUCAGAGCACCGAUCUGGCCUUUUCAAGAAGGCAAGCAAUUAAGCUGUGUACCUUGGUGGGUUGUGAGAUUGCUCUUGUUGUCUUCUCACCAAGUGGGAAACCCUUCUCGUUUGGCAAUCGUUGCGUUGACACAUCAAAGG